ensembl:miRNA MIR541 microRNA 541
ACGUCAGGGAAAGGACUCUGCUGUCGGUCCCACUGCAAAGUUCACAGAAUGGGUGGUGGGCACCGAAUCCGGACUCUGCCUGUG